rnacentral:rRNA from 1 species
GAUCCUGGCUCAGGAUGAACGCUAGCUACAGGCUUAACACAUGCAAGUCGAGGGGCAGCAUGGUCUUAGCUUGCUAAGGCCGAUGGCGACCGGCGCACGGGUGAGUAACACGUAUCCAACCUGCCGUCUACUCUUGGACAGCCUUCUGAAAGGAAGAUUAAUACAAGAUGGCAUCAUGAGUCCACAUGUUCACAUGAUUAAAGGUAUUCCGGUAGACGAUGGGGAUCG